UCCUGCGGGCUGGGCACCUAUAAAUAACGCAGCCCGCCCCUCAGCCUUCCUCCCUUCCUCCAACCGGUUUUAUAAAUACCAAAGGCUGAAAGCAGCCUAAAUGCAGAGGGAGGAGAAAAAAAGAGGAAUAAACACCACCCCCCCAACUGUAAAAUGGGGGUUGGGGGGGGGGGGGGGAAGAAGGCAAGCUAAUGAGCAGUUGGAGCCAACGUGCCGGGGGAGCGCUCCCCGCCGCCGUCACAUGGCUCUGCGCUGUUUUUCUCCCCCCGCCGCCGGUGCGGCAGAACGGCGGCCGCCUCCGCCCGCCCGUGGCCGCGAAUGGUGGGGAGGAGUCCCGCGGCCUCCCCGGCCCUCAGCCCCGGGCCCGGCUGAGCUGCUCCCUCAAAUCAGAUAGCAAAGCCAGGCUUCGGCGGGCGGAAGGCACACAAAGCCCACCUAGAGGGGUGCCUGGGCCAAGCCGUGCAGCCCAGCGGUGGGAGGGAUGAGCUCAUUGACAAAGACCGUUUCUGUCUCUGCUGUAGGAGUGUCCCGGUUCCAGGUGUGUGCCUCAGUUUUGUCAACAUUGAGUCAGGAGAUCUGAUCUACGCCAUCUCCCACCACACCCAUCCGCGGGAGGAAAACCCAGUGCAGGAGCUGGCGGGGAGCCAUGGGGCACAUUGGAACGUGUGCCUGCUCUGUAUCAGACAGAGCCAUUAAAUAGUGUGGGGCCCAAACCAGGUAGUUACAGCGCCCAUAAAAGAAAGAUAACAGCUCUAAGACGCAGCAGUGACAACUGCACUUUGAGAUAUUCCUAUUGGAUGGAUUUUAUUCCAUGUGAUUAUGUCGUCUUGAUUUUAUAUUCUCAUAAUCGUGUAAAUGCUUCACAAGGGUUGAAGUACAGCUCUCUUCUAGAUGUUCUCUACCAGUGAUACUCAAUUUAUCAGCUAACUUCAGUUUCUCUCUCAGCAGCUGAACUCACAAAACUGCUUCUCCUGCGGAUUUGCAGACAAAUCCCUACAGAGUCCUUCCAGUUCUUUCCCUGUUUGGCUGGGCAAGGGGACAGCACUGCCCCUGGGGGGAGCUGAGACUACCUGCCUUUCUGCCAGGGCUCAGUGCUGCCUCUGCUGCAUACUCUGCUCGGCUGUUCCUUCCAGACCUAAACAUGUUUGGGAUUUCUUCCCCGCUGUCAAAUUUGGCUGAGGUUGGAGGAAGGAGGGGAAAAAUGACAGAGAACUUUUAGGAAACCAGGUUAAAAAUAUCAAAGGACUAUUGAGCUGCAAUAUGCAUUGGGCAUUUGCCUGUUCAUGUUUUUUUGGGGCUUGUUUGAUUUUUUUUCUGGUGGUUUUGUUGGUUGGUUUGUUGGUUUUUUUUUUUCCUGUUUUUAACCUUUUCCUAAGUAUGGCACGUCAUACAGGUAAGGAAUUUCUCAGCCAAAUACGCAUCUCCUGGCAGAUUUUACCUGUGUUCCAGCAUGCUGUGCAGAUGCAUGGGCCGUAUGCACAUGUGCUGUGUGUGCUGCAUAAUGAUGGGGAGCCACCGUUCUGUUGGGUGGUUGUGCCUGAGUACAAAGAGAGAUACCUUCGUAUGUAACAGGGGAACAAACAUUUCUUUUGUUUAAGAUCCAUACAAGUUUUGAUGGACAUGCUGGGCAUUUGCCAGGGCUGUCUUUUUUCUUUUCCUUUUAAACUACAUCUGUUCAUUUUAUUUCUGGCACUAUUAUGACAAAGCCACCUCUGUAAUAUAGGUAGCUUGUGCUUUCAGAGAUCUAAUCAUUCUUGAGCUUCGAAAGAAUAAAAAAGCUGUUUCAACAUCUGAA